GAGUGAAAAUUCAGUGAUUGCUCCUCCAGAGACUCAACCAUAGACCCAAGAAAGUACGAGUCGAACAUUGAAGUAUCCCCCACCUGCAGACCACUGCAGAUGUACCCGAUUGAUGGUAGAACGCAUAUAUAUUUUUGCACGAGGCGCGCACAAAGUCAAGACUAUAAUUAUAGCGACACCCACCUAUUGGCGCCCAAUUUCUAGCAAACACUACCCAUACACCUAUGACUAUACACCCAUACGCACACACACAAUCAAUAUCACGGACAAGCGGACAACGAAAUGCGUCUCACGGUCAAGUUGAAAAGCAUUGAGAGCGGAUGUGGAAAUGGGAAUGGGAUGGAGAUGAGAAUGGGAAUGAGAACGAGAUCGAGACCGUGAAUGGGGGAGCAAAGGCAGAUGUGUUAAUGUUUAUGAAGGUCAGUGGAACCGCAGAGGGAGCAACAGUCGAAGAAGGGCAACAGCCCCCUCUCUUUUCCACAUCACAGUAAUUUCUCUCUCUCUCUAUCUUUCUUUCAAUUUUUUAACGAGUGCGUGUGUGACAUUAACCCAAUAAAAAUAGUCGGAUAUACAGCCAGAGCGGAGACCAGAACCCUACGCAACAAUUACGAACGAUCACGAAUGCGCCUGCAAACGAUCAGGAAUGAUCACGAAUGAUCACGACAGAGAAAGAGACAGAGACAGAGAGAGCGAGAGAGGGAAAGAGCGCGUCAAGGGCGUAGCUUGAGAGACAGUGAGAGGCUGAGAGAGCGCCCCGAUUUCUGCCGAUCGUCUUCGGGCUUUCGAUCUGUGUCUUUGAUUUGGUUUCGCGAAAAUUUUCGCUCAGUUUCGAGGAAAAUUGCGGCGCGCCAACUUGGGAAAUGCGUUGCGUGGUGCCCUAGUCGCAGUCCCGUUCCGAUCCGAGCAUACACCAUACAACACUAAGGCCAGAAAAGCCCCCAAGGAUUAGGCUGCAGCAAAGUGUGACCAAAGUGAUCUAUGUGUGUCGUCGCUCCUCCAUCUUCGUUGAUUCUUUGAUUUUACGAUUAUUUCUAUUUCUAUUUAUAUUUCCAUUCUUGUAUGGCUAUUUCGGUGCGCGUUUGUUUUUGUGGCUAAUUAGCACAAAGUGUCGAGCAAUUUUCCGUCUCAAUUGAGCUCAAGUGCUGCCCUUCUGCCAAGAAAUAAGUGAUGAAAACACGAAAAGUUAAUACGUAGCUGAAUAAUUGCCCGAUAUUUAAAUAUUAAUUGUUCAACAUUUAUUUCGUGUGCGCGAAAUACAAGAUACUACUACGAGUUGUCCGUCUCUAUAGAUGGGAUGCCUGCCAUUGCCUGGCUAAAAAUAUAGAUAUGCAUAUGAAAGUCCACAUCCAUACAAUAUAACAACAAAUUUUAUUUAUUGCCUAAAUAUAUUUGUGUGUUUUUCUUGGGCGAGUGUGUCCGUCGUCUGUUUCCAUAAAGCGACGCUGGGCCAGCGAUUUGCCGUAUAAUAUUCGAAAAUUCUUGUGCUAGUAACACUUUUAGCUUCAGCUUCUGCUUACCCCCAACAAAAACUCAACUCGUAAAAAUUUAUAUCAGGCAAAAAAGAUUGCAAAAACUGAAUCAACAGAACAGCAAAACAGAAAAAGUAGCAGUGAAAACACAUAAAGAAUUAAUAAAAGACUAAAAAACAAAACGGAAAAUAAAUAAAUUCAAAUAUUCAACAAUCAUGUCCGCCUCUGCGCGAAGUUCGGUGACGAGAAAAUCGUCGCUGAGCAAAAGUUCCACCGCGGAAAAGUCUACAAAGUCCUCGACAAGCUCCUCAAAGACAACCACUACAUCGACAGCAGCAGCCCCACCAAAUGGAGGAAGCAAACAGAAAAUGCAGUACUCAAAAACCAGGGAGCGAAUGGUGGAUGAUGUCCCGCUGCCGCCCACACACAAGCUCACCAUGUCCGAGGUCUACGACGACGAGAAGACGGGCAAACCCAAUUUCGAUGUACUGCGCAAGCACUUCCUGCUCGAGGGCCGCGUCGAGGAGUCGGUGGCCCUGCGCAUCAUCGAAGAGGGCGCCAACCUGCUGCGCGAGGAGAAGAACAUGAUUGACGUGGAGGCCCCCAUCACCGUCUGUGGCGACAUUCACGGACAGUUCUUCGAUUUGGUCAAACUAUUCGAGGUUGGCGGACCCCCAGCCACGACCAGAUAUCUGUUCCUGGGCGACUACGUGGACAGGGGAUACUUCAGCAUAGAGUGCGUUCUGUAUCUGUGGUCCUUGAAGAUAACCUACCCCGCCACACUGUCGCUCCUGCGAGGCAACCACGAGUGCCGCCACCUCACGGAAUACUUCACCUUCAAGCAGGAAUGCAUCAUCAAGUAUUCGGAAAGUAUUUACGAGGCCUGCAUGGAAGCGUUCGACUGCCUGCCGCUGGCCGCCCUGCUCAACCAGCAGUUUCUGUGCAUCCACGGCGGUCUGUCGCCAGAGAUUUUCACACUCGACGAUAUCAAGACGCUAAAUCGAUUCAGGGAACCACCGGCCUAUGGACCCAUGUGCGAUCUGCUGUGGUCCGAUCCCCUGGAGGACUUUGGCAACGAGAAAACGACCGAGUUCUUCUCGCACAACUCCGUGCGAGGCUGUUCCUACUUCUUCAGCUAUAUGGCCUGCUGUGAGUUCCUGCAGAAGAACAACCUGCUGUCCAUAGUGAGAGCACACGAGGCCCAGGAUGCGGGCUAUCGCAUGUAUCGGAAGAAUCAGGUAACUGGCUUCCCCUCACUCAUCACCAUCUUCUCCGCCCCCAACUAUUUGGAUGUUUACAACAACAAGCUGUGCUCAAGUACGAGAACAACGUGAUGAACAUUCGGCAGUUCAACUGCUCCCCCCAUCCCUACUGGCUGCCCAACUUCAUGGAUGUCUUCACAUGGUCACUGCCCUUCGUGGGCGAGAAGGUAACCGAGAUGCUGGUGAAUAUCCUCAACAUCUGUUCGGACGAUGAGCUGGUGGCCGGACCCGAUGACGAGCUGGAGGAAG